rnacentral:tRNA from 1 species
GCGGGCAUGGUGUUAGCGGUAGCACAUUUGCUUCCCAAGCAAAAAGCACGGGUUCGAUUCCCGUUGCCCGCU